CUUUGUCACCUCGACAACCAACGAAAAGUUCAUUGCGCCCCAAGGGAGGAUAAAAGUCCAGCUUGGAAGCUAGGAUUAAUAAUAGGUAUAGGUGCUGGACUGUGCAAUGUAAUAACAUUGGUGUUGAUCCUCACAUUACGGCGCUGUAAAUAUGGUGGUGCACUGGCUCUGUUCCGAUCAAGAAAUGGAGCCGAUCCUCACGAUAAUCUCG
rnacentral:sRNA from 1 species